UAGAGGGGGGCAUGUGGCUGUGGGAAACGCAGCUGUUUUACCCCUUUUCAUUUAGUUUAACAGCUGGUUCAUGGUACUGCUAUCCUCAAGCUUCUACCGAAGAGAAAGAUUCCCAAGCCAGAAGGUGACCUCCUAAGGAAGGUGAGAGAGGCCCAGGAAGCAAUUGGAAGCUGUGGGGAGUGGGAAAGCCUCAAGCCUCAGGAUGUUCCAUCUGCUGCUCCCUGGGGGCAUGGAUGGGAAAAGCAAAGUGAGUCCUGACAGGCUAGAAUGCUGUGAAGAUGCAAAUACUGCUUGGAGAAGUAUCUCUGUUAAGCUUCUCUGAUUGUACCUCAAUGAGAAUGAGAUUCUUUUGAGAGCACUAGACCCUGAAGGCUGGGAAGGUGGGUCAUAGGAUGGAAUGUCGAGAAGGGUGGGAUGAUUCUGAGAUUGUUGCUGGUGCACUGGACUUAGAAAACCUUAUUGGUUUCCCUUAACCUCUCUGAGUCUUGAGUCUUUUUCCUAAUCUAAAAUGAGUAUAAUCAUUGUUUU